rnacentral:rRNA from 1 species
UCCUACGGGAGGCAGCAGUGGGGAAUAUUGGACAAUGGGCGAAAGCCUGAUCCAGCAAUGCCGCGUGAGUGAUGAAGGCCUUAGGGUUGUAAAGCUCUUUUACCCGAGAUGAUAAUAACAGUAUCGGGUGAAUAAGCUCCGGCUAACUCCGUGCCAGCAGCCGCGGUAAUACGGAGGGAGCUAGCGUUGUUCGGAAUUACUGGGCGUAAAGCGCACGUAGGCGGCUUUUUAAGUCAGGGGUGAAAUCCCGGGGCUCAACCCCGGAACUGCCCUUGAAACUGGGAAGCUAGAAUCUUGGAGAGGCGAGUGGAAUUCCGAGUGUAGAGGUGAAAUUCGUAGAUAUUCGGAAGAACACCAGUGGCGAAGGUGACUCGCUGGACAAGUAUUGACGCUGAGGUGCGAAAGCGUGGGGAUCAAACAGGAUUAGAUACCCUGGUAGUCCACGCUGUAAACGAUGAUCACUCGCUGUUUGCGAUAUACAGUAAGCGGCUAAGCGAAAGCGUUAAGUGAUCCACCUGGGGAGUACGAUCGCAAGGUUGAAACUCAAAGGAAUUGACGGA